UACGUAGGCAGCGAGCGUUGUUCGGAGUUACUGGGCGUAAAGAGUGCGUAGGCGGUUUUCUAAGUUUGGUGUGAAAAUCUCCCGGCUCAACUGGGAGGGUGCGCCGAAGACUGGAAGGCUUGAGUAUGGGAGAGGUAAGCGGAAUUCCUGGUGUAGCGGUGAAAUGCGUAGAUAUCAGGAGGAACACCUGCGGUGUAGACGGCUUACUGGACCAUAACUGACGCUGAGGCACGAAAGCGUGGGUAGCAAACAGG
rnacentral:rRNA from 1 species